CGGCGGACGGGUGAGUAAUGCCUAGGAAUCUGCCUGGUAGUGGGGGAUAACGUCCGGAAACGGGCGCUAAUACCGCAUACGUCCUGAGGGAGAAAGUGGGGGAUCUUCGGACCUCACGCUAUCAGAUGAGCCUAGGUCGGAUUAGCUAGUUGGUGGGGUAAAGGCCUACCAAGGCGACGAUCCGUAACUGGUCUGAGAGGAUGAUCAGUCGCACUGGAACUGAGACACGGUCCAG
rnacentral:rRNA from 1 species